UUCGUUGAUAUAUAGUGUCUCACCCAGAUCAUUGUGUACAAAGAGUUAUGAUCAUUUGAAUUUGACCCAAAAAUUUGCUUUUGAUACGCUGAAGUAGAUCGACCAGAACUUUUUGCUCCGAUAGACAAAUUGGAUGAAACUAAUUUCAUUGGAAAGAGGACUCGCAAAUCUUCGUUGAUAUAUAGUAGAUCAUCUAGAUCAUUAUGUACAAGGAGUUAUGAUUGUUUAAAGUUGGAGAAAAAAUACGUCAGGCCUCAGUACUUUUUCCUGCAUGUUUUAUUGUUCACUACUAUUCACGGUUCGAUCAGAAUGUUCAUAACUCGUCGCUCGGGUGUCCGUAUUGGAUGAUCCACAUAUCGUUAGAAAGCUUAUUCGAUACUUUAUGCAAUGGUGGGUCAUAAUCUAAGACAUUCCGCAUGAAAAAUUUAUAAUUCAUUCUAGAAGAUAGAACUUAACACGUUUAUGCACAAAAUUUCAACGAAAAAUUUCCUGGGGUAUUAUAUACACCCACUACAUCAGAUCUUUCUCUCUCUCUACUCCCUAUCUCUCUUUCUCUCUCUGAAAAUAGAUGCCAACAACCAUCUUCAUUGUCGAGCUCGUUCGUCAGAGCUCUGGCCGCCACCGCAUCAACGCACCACAACCCAUCUCCCGCUUUCUCUGACCACAAAUUUCCACUGAUCCGAUGAACACCGCCAUCCAAACCAGCGUCGCUCUUUUCUCCUCUUUCUCUCUAUUUUCCUCAGCCGUAUUUAAGCACCGGAUAGCUAGAAACCACCUAAACACCACCAAAACCUGCCCCUCCCCGCGGAUCUGUUGUGAAUUUGGCCCAAAAAACCCGCUGCUCCGACGUUCCAUCACCGUUGAAGUAGCGGUAUGGGUUGAUUUUUUUAUCUACUUCACUAGAUAAUUAUUUUUUUAUUUACUAUGUUUAUUCUUGUGUAUAUUUUUAGAUCUGACAGAAGUUAGCCAAACUUGACUAAAAAAUUUUAUUUUCUAUGAUGUUGGAUAUUCCGGCGAGUUCUUGGUUUUGUCCGAUGAAUAUAGCUUGUUUUGAAAUCCAUUUAUGAUUGUUUUUGACUGAUUAUUUUUC
rnacentral:lncRNA from 1 species